UGUUUCCUGCAUUCUGUGUCUAUAAAGACCUAGAAUACAGUCUGUUAAUGAUAAACCUCAGAUUGAUACAACGGUUAGUUAGGAAAUUGUAUACGACUGCUCUGAUAGAGAACCAAAACAACGGUGACUUCUGUGCACAAAGUUGCAGGAGUUUGAAACUCACUAGUGCUUGGCUCUCCUACAGCAGACUUUGACCUAAAGGCCUGUGUAUUUGUAUCAUACCGGAAUCUUGACUCGAUCCAAACAGAAGGGUGAACUUAGUACAUGGUUCUUCAAAUCAUGCAUCACUUUUGCAAAUAGCUGACAUGAGUCCACGACUGCCUUCCCAGGCCCAGCCAUCGCCUGUGUUUCCUGGGAUACCUCACAGGAUCUGAACUAUGAAAGUCAUCUCUGGGCCUACUUCUGCAGAACCUAACACAGACAAUGAGUUUCAAGGACGAAAGAUCGAGCCCUGCCAGUACCCCAUUCUGGGGCCCACAUUCUCCUCCGCUUCCCAAACUAUGACCUUACCAAGAAGUGCCUGCUGCAGAAAAGACAGUCACCCUCCCUUCUGUACCCAAAAGUGUGCACCCCACCGAGGUCUCUCCACUUCCUUCCUUUAAUGGUUGCAAGCAUGCUUUCAUGCUGUUAUUCCAGGGUCGGGGGUGCCCAUCUUGCUCUAAAUUUUCCACUUAAAAUUAAACACAUGAAAACUUUUUCUGCUUCAAAACUUUCAUAUUUCAUCCGUCUGUUUCCUAACCCUGUGUCAUUACAAAAGUAGAGAAUUCUGACCAUAGUGCUGUAAGCCAUUGGCUUUUAAUCUUACUUUAAUAAACAAAAAUCUUGGAACCAUUUCUACGGUCAAAGCAGCAUCUACAUACACAAAACGUUGAAUUGGCAAACGUGGAUCUUCACUAAUCUUAUCAGUUUGGAAAUGUACAGGGUAAUUACCUUAAUAAGAUCAGGACACUAGGAACAUCUACUCUGCGCUCGAUAAUAAAACACAUUAAUAUUCUCUUCCAGAGUGUUUCAAGACUUUUAACCCAUCUCUAAAAGUGUUUACCUCUGC